rnacentral:rRNA from 1 species
UACAGAGGGUGCGAGCGUUAAUCGGAAUUACUGGGCGUAAAGCGCGCGUAGGCGGCUUUGCAAGUCGGGUGUGAAAUCCCCAGGCUUAACCUGGGAACUGCAUUCGAGACUGCAUUGCUAGAGUAUGGGAGAGGGAAGUGGAAUUUCCGGUGUAGCGGUGAAAUGCGUAGAUAUCGGAAGGAACACCGGUGGCGAAGGCGGGUCUCUGGGCCGAUACUGACGCUGAGGAGCGAAAGCGUGGGGAGCGAACAGG